rnacentral:rRNA from 1 species
UGGGGAAUAUUGCACAAUGGGCGAAAGCCUGAUGUAGCGACGCCGCGUGAGGGAUGACGGCCUUCGGGUUGUAAACCUCUUUCAGCAGGGACGAAGCGCAAGUGACGGUACCUGCAGAAGAAGCACCGGCUAACUACGUGCCAGCAGCCGCGGUAAUACGUAGGGUGCAAGCGUUGUCCGGAAUUACUGGGCGUAAAGAGUUCGUAGGCGGUUUGUCGCGUCGUUUGUGAAAACCAGCAGCUCAACUGCUGGCUUGCAGGCGAUACGGGCAGACUUGAGUACUGCAGGGGAGACUGGAAUUCCUGGUGUAGCGGUGAAAUGCGCAGAUAUCAGGAGGAACACCGGUGGCGAAGGCGGGUCUCUGGGCAGUAACUGACGCUGAGGAACGAAAGCGUGGGUAGCGAACAGG